AUUUCUGUUGUCGUGGUUAUUUCGUUCACACUUUUACUUUGUCACAAUAAUAAUUUGCAUGAGUUAUGUUACGGGUCUCAUUACCAUCCCCCCUAGACCGUCGGGCCAAAAGGGAUUCGUAACAGCCACAUUUUUUGAGGUAUUACUUUAGUGCCUUGUUGCAAAAAGGAUGCAUGUUUUGGAAUACUUUAAUAAUGUACAUGUUUCCUCCUUUUCACUCUGUGUAUUAGGUUAGUAUUGUGGCGUAACUACAAUGUUGAUCCAUCCUCAGUUUUCCCCUACACAGCCAUUAAACUCUAACUUUUUUAAAGUCACCAUUGGCCUCAUGGUGAAAUCCCUGAGGGGUUUCCUUCCUCUCUGGCAACUGAGUUAGGAAGGACUCAUGUAUCUUUGUAGUGAUACCCGUCUACCAAUAUGAUAUGUGCCCUUUGUGAUGCAUUGGAAAACCUCCCUGCUCUUUGUGGUUGAAUCUGUGUUGGAAAUUCACUGCAAGAAAACUAUUCUGUGUGGGGUACAGAGAGGAGUUAGUCAUUAAAAAAUCAUGUUAAGCACUAUUGCACACAGUGAGUCCAUGCAACUUAUUAUGUGACUUGUUAAGCAUUUUUACUCCUGAAUUUAUUUAGGCUUGCCAUAACAAAUGGGUAGAAUACUUACUGAAUCAAUACAUUUCAGGUUUUCAUUUUUUAUUAAUUUGGACAUAUUUAUAUAAACAUAAUUCCACUUUGACAUUAUGUGGUAUUGUGACUAUGCCAGUGAGAAAAAAAUCAAUUUAAAAUAAGGCAGUAAUACAACAAAAUUCAGAAAACGUCAAGUGGUGUGAAUACUUUCUGAAGGCAUUGUACAUGGCUGGAACCAUAUCUUUGUAACUAGGGGAACUGUACAUUUAGCCAUUUGUAGUUUUUCUCCAAUGGUUUCAACUGUUUUCAAACUAACUCUACAGAAUUAAACCCAGUUCUCUCUCUUUCAGCCCCUUCUCCCUCUGCCUGGUUUCUCAGAACUCAAGAAUUCCUGAUGCUCACCUUGUCAAGAUAGCUUCUUAUUCCUCAAACAUCAACAAGCAUGCUUGGAACCUCACCAUUGUUUUGGCUCCAAACCUUCUCGUGUGUGGUGUGUGUGUUUAUCUACAUCUGCCACACUGUCAUGGAUACUGAAUAACUGGCUAUGUCUGAGGCCCAAACAGUGUGGUGAGUGUGUCUGUAGGCUGUAUUUUCUUUGUUUCUAUGACUAUCCUUUUGUUGCCUGUUUUUAUCUGAUAAUUCCAAUUUCAACCAGUAAGACUUUACUAAAUUAAACCAGAGGAAUGUACUGUCUGACUGUGCUCCUGUCUCUCAGGUGAGCUGAUCCAGUGACUGCAAGAUCUUUGUUUUGGACCUUCAGAAUAGUCUGUGUGAGAUGCUGGGGUGAUCCUCCCUGAGUGCAGUCCGCUGAUUGAUUAGUCUAACAGCGGGAGGCAGUAUGAGCUCUAACGGUACUAACCAGAUGGAUAGUGUGAAAUUGCAAGUGUUAGGGGGGGGGACGACAUCUGCCUUCAGGGUGACUUUGUGAUCUCUCCAUGUUAUAUACAGUAUGACAGUAAUUUCUGAUGUUUAUGUUGUCUUCAGAGGUCUGCAGGGGGAGUUUGAUAGCAGAUUGUGUGGAGCGGGAGCUGCAGGUGUAGGAAAUGGGAUUCGGGGAUGGAAAUCAGCAGGAUUUUAGCUCACAAAACACACACACACCACUGCUCUGUGCUCCGGUAGUGGAGCUUUACUAAUAAUCUGAAUUCCCUUUUCAAAUAUACUAUGAUAUGCGCAUACCAUUUUGUGAUGUUGUAUAUCGUUUCUAUAUAUUUUAUAUUCAGACAAGACCAAGGAGACGAAGCAGGAGCACAUGGUAAGUGCUACGGCAUCUGAUGGCACUGUGAAGCUGUGGCACCCCUUCCAGGUGAGCUGAAUGCAAUUUGAUUUAGGAUUUAAGAUUUGAUUGGAGCAGUGUCAAAGCAGGAAGGAGUCCAGGCAUUCCUCACUGUGUCUGAAGAUCGGUCGCUGAAGUCUUGGAGCAUUGGGUAACACAUGGGUAACACAUUUAUCAACCUAAAUUAAUCGUCCAAUUUCCAUGCUUGAUGUUUUUUGCUUAGAUUUUUAUUAAUUUCCCAUCUUUACUGUUUCCUCCAGAGAGUCCUUCCAACCAGAGGGCCACUGUUACUGCUCUGUGAUGCUCUCAGAGUGGCUAUAUGGAAACACAACACUUUAGUUGGCCACAAAAAGGUAUCUCCAUACAGUAACUUCCAUUCAGGACCUUGUUUUGUUGGUGUGUAUUUAACAUUUGAGUAAUUUAGCAGACUCUCAUAUCCAGAGCAACUUACAGUAGUCAGAGCAUACAUUUUCAUACUGGUCCCCCAUUGGAAUUAAACCCACAACCCUGAGCAUUGCAAGCACCAUGCUCUACCAACUGAGCCACAUUUUGGUGAAUAAAACAAAGUUGGUUUAUCUGUGAUUUGCUUGUCUCUCAGGUGUCUGACAGUAGUGUAAAAGUGAUCUGCUCCAUGCCUGAUGAUUAGUUAUCUGUGGUCCGCAAGAGGUUGGAGUGGAAUCUUUAGCACAAUGCUGCAAGGUCAGCUCUUGUUAUUGGCACAAUUUGGCAUUUGUAAGAAAUUGAUUACAUUUGCUGGUUGAAAAUGUGGAAAUGUUCAGUAGUAUAUACAGUGUACUCAGACCACUUUACAUGUUCUACAUUUUGUUACAUUACAGCCUUAUUCUAAACAUGAAAAAAAAUCCUCAUCAAUACCCCAUAAUGAAGAAACGAAAACCGUUUUUUAGAAAUGUAGGCAAAUGUAUUUAAAAUAAAAAACACAAAUACUUUAUUUACAUAAGUAUUCAGACCUUUUGCUAUGAGACUCGAAAUUGAGCUCAGGUGUAUCCUGUUUCCAUUGAUCAUCCUUGACAUGUUUAUACAACUUGAUUGGACUCAACCUGUGGUAAAUUCAAUUGAUUGGACAUGAUUUGGAUUGGCACGCACCUGUCUAUAUAAAGUCCUACAGUUGACAGUAUAUGUCAGAGAAAAAAACAAGACAUGAGGUCGAAGGAAUUGUCCGUAGAGCUCCGAGACAAGAUUGUGUUGAGACACAGAUCUGGGGAAGAGCACCAAAAAAUGCCUGCAGCAUUGAAGGUCCCCAAGAACACAGUGGCCUCCAUCAUUAUUAAAUGGAAGACAUUUGGAACCACCAAGACUCUUUCAAGAGCUGGCUGUCCGGCCAAACUGAGCAAUCAGGGGAGAAGGGCCUUGGUCAGGGAGGUUACCAAGAACACGAUGGUCACUCUGACAGAGCUUCAGAGUUCCUGUGUGGAGAUGAGAGAACCUUCCAGAAGGACAGCCAUCACUGCAGCACUCCACCAAUCAGGCCUUUAUGGUAGAGUGGCCAGACUGAAGCCACUCCUCAGUAAAAGGCACAUGACAACCCGCUUGGAGUUUGCCAAAAGUCACUUAAAGACUCUCAGAAUCAAGAUUCUCUAGUCUGAUGAAACCAAGAUGGAACUCUGUGGUCUGAAUGCCAAGCGUCACGUCUGGAGGACACCUAGCACCAUCCCUACGGUGAAAAAUGGUGGUGGCAGCAUCAUGCUGUGGGGAUGUUUUUCAGUGGCAGGGACUGGCAGUCUAGACAGGAUCGGAGCAAAGUACAGAAAUUGAUCCAUGAUGAAAAUCUGCACCAGAGCACUCAGGACCUCAGACUGGGGCAACAAUUCACCUUGCAACAGGACAAUGACACUAAGCACACAGACAACACAAAGCAGGAUUGGCUUUGGGACAAGUCUCUGAAUGUCCUUGAGGGGCCCAGCCAGAGUUCGGACUUGAACACUAUUGAACAGAGACCUGAAAAUACCUGUGCAGCGACGCUCCCCAUCCAACCUGACAGAGCUUGAAAGGGUCUGCAGAGAAGAAUGGGAGAAACUCCCCAAAUACAGGUGUGCCAAGCUUGUAGUGUCAUACCUAAGACAACUUGAGGCUGUAAUUGCUUCAACAAUAUACUGAGUAAAGGGUCUGAAUACUUAUGUAAAUGUCAUUUUUCUGUUGUUUUUUUUAAUUGAAGAGGAAAAAAACUAUUUAUUCAAUAAGGCUGUAUUUUAUUUUUUACCAGGCAAGUCAGAUUUUUACCUUGUCAGCUCUGGGAUUUGCUCCAGCAACCUUUCGGUUACUGGCCCAACACUCUAACCACUAGGCUACCUAACGUUACAAAAUGUGGCAAAAGUCGAAGGGUCUGAAGACUUUCCGAAUACGCCGUACAGUAGAUGGCAUUUUAGUCAUAAUGUCUUCUAGUACUCCUGCAAUGCCUGCUGGUAAACUGUCAUCCUUUUGCCCCUAGUCUGUUGGUGUCCACAUACUCAGUGCCUUCCCCAGUGACGCACCUGUACUACUGCCCUAUCCUGCUGGGAACCUGUGAGGAUGGAAAUAUAAUCAGUGUCCUCAUUGACCCUGAUGCUGAUAGAGAAAUGAUCAAGUAAAGCACAUGAUCAAGCACAAUGAUCAAGUAAAGACACACACAUUAUGUGGUGAACCAGAUCCAGACUGAUAAAUACUGACUUAAAAUGUACAUAACUGAUUAAAUUGCAGUUGGAAGGAUGACAUGUGAAUUCUUGGAAUGUGGCCAACGAUGAAAAAAGAACUUGGUUGGUAGAUGAGAAGAAAGGACAGGUUGUGCUUGGCAUCUUGGUGAGUUUACCACCAUCACCGACACAUUCAUCAUUUUCAGUGAUCUCACUGCUGCUGUUUGGAUUAUUGUUUUGAUAAGACCAUAUUAUCAUCCACCAAUAUAACUUCUAUCUGCCUUCUUUAGUAUAUCAUGUUACAGGGCUCCCAAGUGGCGCAGUGAUCUAAGGCACUGCAUCUUAGUGCAAGAGGUGUCCCUACAGACCUUGGUUUGAAUCCAGGCUGUAUCACAUCCGGUUGUGAUUUGGAGUCCCAUAGGGCGGCGCUCAAUUGGCCCAGCGUCUUCCGGGUUUGGCCUGGGUAGGCCGUCAAUGUAAAUAAGAAUUUGUUCUUAACUGACUUGCCUAGUUAAAUAAAGGUUACAUUUAAAAAAUGUGGUGACAUUGAGCUAGAAAUGGACCCGUCUAGUGGUGGAAUAGGUGGCUGGAUAUCUGCAGUGACUGUGGAGAGAGGUACAGUAGCUGCACUGCAGUACAAUGACACUCACAUAACAAGUUGGUAUAUGAAUAGUUGAUUAACUGGACUGUUAUUCUGUGUCCUGUCUCUAGAGUUAGCGGUUGUGGGAGAUUCCAAGGGGAAAAUGUGGUUCGACCAGCUACCAAAUGUCAACUCCUAGAGCAGCAGGAAACCUGUAAGAUGUCUCCCUUUUGAAACUGGUGUCUUUUUUUUCCAACGGUGAUGGUUUUUUAUGGAUAUUCUCUAGGCAUUCUCUGAUCCUAUGAUCAGUGUCCUGCGACUCACCAACCAGCACCGUCAUCUCAGUGUCCCAUGACAGAACUGUCAAAAUGUGGGACAAACACCAAGAAACGGGUGCAUGUGGGUGUGUUUGCGUGUGUGGGUCCUGUUCUAGUCUUGAAGGUCAACCCGCACUGCUCCAGUGAACUGGUGUGUGGCGAUUAACUGAGCCAGCUCUACUUCCUCUCCUGGUGGGAAUAACCGGCUCAGUGUACACAGACAUUGUAUACACAUCCUUGCAAUCAUAAUUAACGUACUCU